AAAAAGGGCUUCUGUCGUGAGUGGCACACGUAGAACAACUCGAUCACUCUGCGUGCGGAAUCGACAUCAAGAGAUUUCGGAAGCAUAAUUUUUUGGUACUUGGGCAGCUGGAAAAAAAAAAAAAGAAUGAUAAAGGCCGUGGAUGAUCUGAGCAACAGGAGAGUCCGUGUGAAAUAACUUCAGGCAGUUUUAGACACUCUC